rnacentral:lncRNA from 1 species
GCCUCGGUCCUUCGCCGUCCCUCGCCGUCCUUCGCCAUCGCAUGCCAUCGCACGCCACCGCACCCCAUCUCUCGAAAUCUGCAGACAUCUUGAUUUUUCCCACGCUGUCUGUCAGGUCUCCGCCGCCACUCGACGCCAGGGCGCCGGGCCUUGUGGGCUGUGCUGCACCUCGGACGGCUUCGCACCAGCCAGCGCCCUCUCUCUCCUGCAGCACUCUGAUCUGCACCCCCUGAGGGGCUUCCACUGUCCGCGGGGUGAGAAUGCCCCUGGGAAUGUCACAUGACUGCCGCCCCAUGUGUGUGAGAGGUGUCCUCUGGGAGAGCAUGGAUCCUGAGGUCCCAGGAUUGUCAGCUGACCUCUGUCCUGUGUGCCCAGUGGCCCCAGGUGACGUGUCUUCAAGAAGAGGCUGAGCUGCGGUGCUUGUAAGAGUCAUGUGCUGUUCCUGGGGCUUGGAUGAUGUAGGGGAAGCAAGGUGAAAGUGGUAUCCCGUGGUUCCACGUUCUGUCCUGCUGUGGGGCUGUCCCUCACAUGCCUUCAGUGGCUGUUGCAGAGGAAGAGCCUCCGGAAAUCUGCGUGGGUCUCAGCCUUAGAUCCAAGGACAGUCCAAGGAAGUCCUAAGACCAUGGAGUUGGUGAUCUGGGAUCUGGGUUUGCUGAUAUUUCUCACCAUGAAUCUCUUGGUGGUGUUUGUGGGCAUGAGAGGGGCAGAGAAUAGAGAGUGAGGCUACCACAUGAAGCGUCACCAGAGCUGCUCCCUGCUGCCUGCUCAGAGCACCCCGGAUCCACUGUUCAAUCUGCACAAGAUUCGGGGUCCAGACAUGGGAGACUUCAGCUGCCUCAGAGGACCGUGGACAGGGAAGGCCAGCCUCGCAUCCCUCUGUCCAUGCCUGGAAUGACUUUAAUAACCAAGAGUUUUAUUCUUGAAUUUGUAGCUGUCGUUCACUUUUUACCCACCCAUUCAAUAAACCUUACAGAAUUGCUCCA